UUACCGUCUCAUCUCUCUCCCUCUCUCUCUCUCUCUCUCCUUGUCUUCCUUCCUCUAAUGCUCUCUUUCUCACAGAUCCCUUGUGCACAGCCACCGUGAGCCAUCAACAUCGCCAGUCAGAACCUCGCCAUUGCCACCACCUUCUUCCUCUCCUCCACACGCCGACACAGCUCCCUCUUCCUCCCUCGCAUGCUCUCUGUCUCACAGAUCCUCUGUCCACAGCCAUCACAUUUGCCGUCAUGAGCCACCAUCGUCGCGUCCAGCCACGAUCUCACACCACCACGAGCAUCCACUGAGCCCUUCCUCCCCCAGCUCAAAGCUCCUCCCUCUUCCUUCGCACGAACACCCUUUCUCUCUACACAAUUUACCCACCUCGCGGCUCAGAUCCACUGCCUAUGGUCGCGCGUCGCAACCCACAACCAUGCCAGACCUCCACGCCGAGCUUGCUCUCUCCCUCACAUGCCCUCUCCCUUUUUUUUUUUUUGUCUAUCAAUGGCAUCUGAAGAGCAAAGAACAAGAAGCAUAUCAGAAAUGUCGAGAUUCAAGAGGUGGACUAAUUCGAAAGACACCGAGAUUUUUCUGGAAAGUGAAAAUAGAGAAGAGCAGAUUGGAGGAAAAUAUUAAACAGAUUUGAGUUGGUUUCAGACUGUCGAUUGAACAUCUUAAGUUUUAAAUUUGAGUCAGACGAAGUAAUAAGAUCUAAAUGUAAAAAGACAACAACUUUUAGGCGGUGAAGCAAAACGACAGCAAGCACAACGGACUAAACAAGAGAACUAAGGGGCAAAAUUGGAAACAAAGCAUGAAAAAAAUCAGGCAGUCAGAAUGGAAAAAGACCAAAAUGUCUGUUGGCAAAGAAAAAGUAAAGUUAAAACCAUAGUAAUUUUCAAAUAAAAUUAAGGAUAAAAUGGGAAAAAAAGAAUUAGACGAAAAUACUGUUAAAAGCCGAUUCGCACUUUAUAUAUAAGUAUAGAUAUAGAUAUAGAUAUAUAUAGAUCAGUUUUAUUUCAUUUUAUUUCCUAUAUAUGUUGUUACCUUAGAUUCUGCUCUACUACCAAAAUUA